rnacentral:rRNA from 1 species
AACGCUAGCUACAGGCUUAACACAUGCAAGUCGAGGGGCAGCAUUACGGUAGCUUGCUACUGUAGAUGGCGACCGGCGCACGGGUGAGUAACGCGUAUCCAACCUGCCCAUGACUUGGGGAUAACCUUGCGAAAGCAAGCCUAAUACCCGAUACGCUUCAUAGACGGCAUCUGAAAUGAAGUAAAGGUUUACGGUUAUGGAUGGGGAUGCGUCCGAUUAGCUUGUUGGCGGGGUAACGGCCCACCAAGGCAUCGAUCGGUAGGGGUUCUGAGAGGAAGGUCCCCCACAUUGGAACUGAGACACGGUCCAAACUCCUACGGGAGGCAGCAGUGAGGAAUAUUGGUCAAUGGAGGCAACUCUGAACCAGCCAAGUAGCGUGCAGGAUGACGGCCCUAUGGGUUGUAAACUGCUUUUAUGCGGGGAUAAACUGACUCACGUGUGGGUCAUUGCAGGUACCGCAUGAAUAAGGACCGGCUAAUUCCGUGCCAGCAGCCGCGGUAAUACGGAAGGUCCGGGCGUUAUCCGGAUUUAUUGGGUUUAAAGGGAGCGUAGGCCGUUGUUUAAGCGUGUUGUGAAAUGUCCCGGCUCAACCGUGGCACUGCAGCGCGAACUGGACGACUUGAGUGCGCGGAACGUAUGCGGAAUUUGUGGUGUAGCGGUGAAAUGCUUAGAUAUCACGAAGAACUCCGAUUG